rnacentral:rRNA from 1 species
GCAGUCGAGCGGACAGAAGGGAGCUUGCUCCCGGAUGUUAGCGGCGGACGGGUGAGUAACACGUGGGUAACCUGCCUGUAAGACUGGGAUAACUCCGGGAAACCGGAGCUAAUACCGGAUAGUUCCUUGAACCGCAUGGUUCAAGGAUGAAAGACGGUUUCGGCUGUCACUUACAGAUGGACCCGCGGCGCAUUAGCUAGUUGGUGAGGUAACGGCUCACCAAGGCGACGAUGCGUAGCCGACCUGAGAGGGUGAUCGGCCACACUGGGACUGAGACACGGCCCAGACUCCUACGGGAGGCAGCAGUAGGGAAUCUUCCGCAAUGGACGAAAGUCUGACGGAGCAACGCCGCGUGAGUGAUGAAGGUUUUCGGAUCGUAAAGCUCUGUUGUUAGGGAAGAACAAGUGCAAGAGUAACUGCUUGCACCUUGACGGUACCUAACCAGAAAGCCACGGCUAACUACGUGCCAGCAGCCGCGGUAAUACGUAGGUGGCAAGCGUUGUCCGGAAUUAUUGGGCGUAAAGGGCUCGCAGGCGGUUUCUUAAGUCUGAUGUGAAAGCCCCCGGCUCAACCGGGGAGGGUCAUUGGAAACUGGGAAACUUGAGUGCAGAAGAGGAGAGUGGAAUUCCACGUGUAGCGGUGAAAUGCGUAGAGAUGUGGAGGAACACCAGUGGCGAAGGCGACUCUCUGGUCUGUAACUGACGCUGAGGAGCGAAAGCGUGGGGAGCGAACAGGAUUAGAUACCCUGGUAGUCCACGCCGUAAACGAUGAGUGCUAAGUGUUAGGGGGUUUCCGCCCCUUAGUGCUGCAGCUAACGCAUUAAGCACUCCGCCUGGGGAGUACGGUCGCAAGACUGAAACUCAAAGGAAUUGACGGGGGCCCGCACAAGCGGUGG